rnacentral:rRNA from 1 species
UACGUAGGGGGCAAGCGUUGUCCGGAUUUAUUGGGCGUAAAGAGCGUGUAGGCGGUUAGGUAGGUCCGUUGUGAAAACUCGAGGCUCAACCUCGAGACGCCGAUGGAAACCAUCUGACUAGAGUCCGGAAGAGGAGAGUGGAAUUCCUGGUGUAGCGGUGAAAUGCGCAGAUAUCGGGAGGAACACCUGUGGCGAAAGCGGCUCUCUGGACCACAACUGACGCUGAGGCGCGAAAGCUAGGGGAGCAAACAGG